rnacentral:rRNA from 1 species
UACGUAGGCAGCAAGCGUUGUUCGGAAUUACUGGGCGUAAAGAGUGUGUAGGCGGUGCACUAAGUUUGGUGUGAAAUCUCCCGGCUCAACUGGGAGGGUGCAUCGAAAACUGGGGUGCUCGAGGGUGGGAGAGGUAAGCGGAAUUCCUGGUGUAGCGGUGAAAUGCGUAGAUAUCAGGAGGAACACCUGUGGUGUAGACAGCUUACUGGACCACUUCUGACGCUGAGACACGAAAGCGUGGGUAGCAAACAGG